GACAGAGGGUGCAACCGUUGUUCGGAAUUACUGGGCGUAAAGCGCGUGUAGGCUGCUUGGAAAGUCGGAUGUGAAAGCCCCGGGCUCAACCUGGGAAUUGCAUUCGAGACUGCGUAGCUAGGGUGCGGAAGAGGGAAGCGGAAUUUCCGGUGUAGCGGUGAAAUGCGUAGAUAUCGGAAGGAACACCAGUGGCGAAAGCGGCUUCCUGGUCCAGCACCGACGUUCAGGCACGAAAGCGUGGGGAGCAAACAGG
rnacentral:rRNA from 1 species